rfam:Triticum urartu cultivar G1812 contig595320, whole genome shotgun sequence.
CAACUACUCCCUCUGUCCGGAAAAGGUUGUCCUUCAAAUGGACGUAUCUAGCAUCAAAAUAUUUACUUUUAAUGUACAAAUUAUGCCAUUAGAUUUGUCAUUUGAAAGACAAGCUUGGGACAAGCUUUUCCGGACGGAGGGAGUAAUUA